CCCUUAGAUGUCCGGGGCUGCACGCGCGCUACACUGAAGGAAUCAGCGUGCUAAAACCAUUGUCGAAAGGCAUUGGUAAACCCAUUAAAAUCCUACGUGAUUGGGAUCGGGAAUUGCAAUUAUUUCCCUUGUACGAGGAAUUCCCAGUAAGUGUGGGUCAUAAGCUCGCGUUGAUUACGUCCCUGCCCUUUGUACACACCGCCCGUCGCUGCCCGGGACUGAGCCGUUUCGAGAAAAGCGGGGACUGCUGCUGUCGGGGCUUUCGGGCCUUGGCUUCGGUGGAAACCGCUUUAAUCGCAGUGGCUUGAACCGGGCAAAAGUCGUAACA
rnacentral:rRNA from 1 species